AAACUUACCUGGCACAGGAGAUACCGCGAUCAUGAAGGCGGUUCUCCCAGCACGAGAUUCAGCCAUUGCACUGAGGUUGAAUUGACUUCUGCGAUUACCCCACAUGUGGGUAACUCGGGUGCAUAAUUUCUGAUAGUGGGGAACUGCGUUCGCGCUUUUCCCUA
rnacentral:snRNA from 1 species